rnacentral:rRNA from 1 species
UACGGGGGGAGCAAGCGUUGUUCGGAUUUACUGGGCGUAAAGGGCGCGUAGGCGGCCAGCACAAGUCAGUUGUGAAAUCUCCGAGCUUAACUCGGAAAGGUCAACUGAUACUGUGCGGCUAGAGUGCGGAAGGGGCAACUGGAAUUCUUGGUGUAGCGGUGAAAUGCGUAGAUAAUCGAAGAGGAACACCUGCGGCGAAGGCGGGUUGCUGGGCCGACACUGACGCUGAGGCGCGAAAGCCAGGGGAGCAAACGGG